GCCUGGGUGGCUCACCCAGUUAAGCAUCUGACUUCGGCUCAGGUCAUGAUCUCACAGCUCGUGGGUUCGAACCCCACAUCGGGCU
rnacentral:tRNA from 1 species